rnacentral:rRNA from 1 species
ACUAUAAGUCUCCUGAAGGAACGUUGAAGACGACGACGUUGAUAGGUCGGGUGUGUAAGCGCAGCGAUGCGUUGAGCUAACCGAUACUAAUGAACCGUGAGGCUUAACCUU